rnacentral:misc_RNA from 1 species
GCCAUACUGAUCAAACCAUGAUGGGGCCAUCUGGUGACUGAUCUGAGACUGUUCAGUUCUCACAGGUACUGCACUACAAUUAGCAAAAUUCUGAGUAUCAUUGUGACCAAGUCCAAGCAUGCCCUGAGAAGGCAUAUUUGUAUCCGGAACAUCCGUCAGUCUUGCCGGAAAGCUUAGCAUCUUAGAAUCUCUUGUGGGAAUCGAAUCACAAUUUGUUGAUGCAUCCCUGACCAUAUUGUGACCAUAGAACUGCUGUCCUCCUGGGGGGCCUAUCUGCUGAGCAUCCAUGGCACCAUCAGGAACUUUAAAUCUCUUCAAACUGCUAUUGUCUGGAUCUACCUCUUCAUUUUUCAUGCCCUGCACUUGACGCGUCAACGAGUAAUUUUGAUGUAAAAUACUAUUUGGCCUUAAAGAUCGGCCAAAUGCUUCAAUCUCUCUUUGGGUACUGGCAGGGUUCAUAAGAGAAGUGCCAGUAAGAGGAUUUGCAACAGAUUCUUUCCCUUCUGAGACAGACAUUGUCUUGUACGCAUGGUCAUUAUCAGGUGAAACUUGCUGGCAUGGAUCUCCUUUUGCUGCUUGUUCUUUCCCAACAAAACCAU